GGAAGUAAAGGAGAUCUGGCUACGACAGAUAUCACCCCAUUAAUCGCCAGGAUUGAGUCCGCUGAUCUGACAGGCGAGGGUGGGGGGGAAUCCCCGUCCUCCCUCACUGCUACUCGUUCAUCCCUCACAAAACAACUUGCUCGGCCAAAGAGGACAACUUCCCGGAGAGUGGGGAGGAACACUCUUACACAAGGGACAUACGAGUAGCUGUGCUCCCCGGCUGGAACCUCCAAACACACUCUCAGGUUUCAUUUGUAGGAGAACAUAGGGUGGAAACGUUUGCAGGACUCCAGGAACAUCCAUAUAAGGCACUACAUGUGGCAGACUGCCUUUCUAC
ensembl:misc_RNA 7SK 7SK RNA